UGGGGAAUCUUGCGCAAUGGGCGAAAGCCUGACGCAGCAACGCCGCGUGGGGGAUGAAGGCUCUCGGGUUGUAAACCCCUUUCAGUAGGGACGAAAACAGACGGUACCUACAGAAGAAGCCCCGGCCAACUACGUGCCAGCAGCCGCGGUAAUACGUAGGGGGCGAGCGUUGUCCGGAUUCAUUGGGCGUAAAGAGCUCGUAGGCGGCUUGGUAAGUCGGGUGUGAAAACCUCAGGCUCAACCUGAGGCCUGCACCCGAUACUGCUAUGGCUUGAGUCCGGUAGGGGAGUGUGGAAUUCCCGGUGUAGCGGUGAAAUGCGCAGAUAUCGGGAGGAACACCAGUGGCGAAGGCGGCACUCUGGGCCGGAACUGACGCUGAGGAGCGAAAGCGUGGGGAGCGAACAGG
rnacentral:rRNA from 1 species